rnacentral:rRNA from 1 species
AUUGAACGCUGGCGGCAGGCCUAACACAUGCAAGUCGAACGAGUGGCGGACGGGUGAGUAAUGUCUGGGAAACUGCCUGAUGGAGGGGGAUAACUACUGGAAACGGUAGCUAAUACCGCAUACCAUCGGAUGUGCCCAGAUGGGAUUAGCUAGUAGGUGGGGUAACGGCUCACCUAGGCGACGAUCCCUAGCUGGUCUGAGAGGCUGACCAGCCACACGGGAACUGAGACACGGGCCAGACCCCUACGGGAGACAGCAGUGUGGAAUAUUGCACAAUGGGAGCAAGCCUGAUGCAGCCAUGCCGCGUGUAUGAAGAAGGCCUUCGGGUUGUAAAGUGCUUUCAGCGGGGAGGCGUUACCCGCAGAAGAAGCACCGGCUAACGCCGUGCCAGCAGCCGCGGUAAUAC